GAUGAAGAACGUAGUGAAAUGCGAUAAGUAGUGUGAAUUGCAGAAUUCAGUGAAUCAUCGAAUCUUUGAACGCACAUUGCGCCCUUUGGUAUCCCAAAGGGCAUGCCUGUUCGAGCGUCAUUUGUACCCUCAAGCUUUGCUUGGUGUUGGGCGUCUUGUCUCUAGCUUUGCUGGAGACUCGCCUUAAAGUAAUUGGCAGCCGGCCUACUGGUUUCGGAGCGCAGCACAAGUCGCACUCUCUAUCAGCAAAGGUCUAGCAUCCAUUAAGCCUUUUUUUCAACUUUUGACCUCGGAUCAGGUAGGGAUACCCGCUGAACUUAAGCAUAUCAAUAAGCGGAGGA
rnacentral:misc_RNA from 1 species